rnacentral:lncRNA from 1 species
CGGACGCACUGCGGACGCUCCAGGGCGUCUCCUGGGCUGCCCAGACUGCUUUGCUCGCUUCGGCUGCCUACGGUCCGCGAGGGUCUGGCUCCGCCCUUGACGCCAGCCCAAAGCCGCCCUUGCUCCACAAGCUGCGGCUCUCCGGUCUCGUUGGGUCCGGCUUCCUUCACUAGGGCCCGGCCACCCUCGCUCCUCAGGCCUCAGCUCCCUUUACUCGCGCCCAGCCGCCCUCGCUACGUCAGGCCCCAGCCUCCCUUGUUCCUUUGGUCCCGGCUUCCCUCGCUCUUCGAGCCCCAGCUUCCCUCUCCGGUCCCAGCCUCCCUCCCUCGCUCCUCUGGCGCCGGCCUCCCUCUCGGAUCCGGGCCUCCCUCUCUCCUCCGACCCUCCCUCUCUCCUCCGACCCCGGCCUCCCUUGCUCUUCCCGCCCCGGCCUUCCCGGUCCAUCCCGGCCCUGACCGUUGCGGCAGGUGGCAGGUUGCGGGCACAGGGGGCUGUUGCAAGGUACGCUGGGCCGCAGAUAGUGUUCGCGCACGAUCCUCAGCGUCCGGCCCUGGAAGGUCCUCAGCAGCAGCACCUUCUCCCGCUUCUGCAGCAUGCUGGCGGCGUCGCCCGGCACAGUGGCCGGGAAGCGGCGGGCGGCAGGUGGAGGCG